rnacentral:tRNA from 1 species
UGGCUCAGUUGGUAGAGCACUUGCCUUGCAUGCACAAGGCUCUGGGUUCAAUCCCCAG